GUUCUUGAAAUUUAAAAGAUUUGGCGGUAUUUUAGUCUUUUCAGAGGAACCUGUCCUAUAAUUGAUAAUCCACGAUUUAUUAUACUUAAAUUAAAAGCUUAUAUAUCGUCGUAGUUGAGUUCUUUAUAAGAAUUAUAGUACUCAAUAUUUAUAAUUUAAUAAAUUAAAUCAGAUCAAGAUAUAGCUUAUAUUUAAGAAGAGAUGGGUUACAAUAAAUUUAUUUAUGGUUAUAAUAAUUAAAAUUAUUAUAUAAAUUGGAUUUGAAAGUAAUAUAUUUUAAUUAAAAUAUAUGAUUUAAGCUCUGAAAUAUGCACAUAUCGCCCGUCACUUCCAAUGAUUUUAAAUUGGAAUAAGUCGUAACAUAGUAGGUGUACCGGAAGGUGUACCUAGAUUGCAAAUUAAAGCUUAAAAAGUAUUUUAUUUACAUUAAAAAGAUAAUUGUGAAAAUCAAUUUAAUUUGAAUUUAUAAAUUUAUUUAUAUAUAAAUUAUAUAUUAUUUAAAAAAAAUAUUUUUAUAUUUAUUUAUAAAUUUAGAUAAAAUUAUUUUAAUUAUAGAACAUUAGUAUUGUGAAAGAAUUUUGAAAAAUAUGAAAAUUUAAAUAUUUAAAAGAAAAAUUAAAUUUUUGUACCUUGUGUAUCAGGGUUUAUUAAAUAUAAAUUAUAAAUUUUAAUUUUCUCGAAUUUAAAAGAGUUAAAAAAUUAUUUAUUUUAUUGUAAAAUAAAUAUUUUAAAUAAUUUUUUAGUAAUGAAACGUUAUUCGUUUUUAAAUAUAUCUAGUUUUUUAAGAAAUAAAUUUAAUUUAAGUUAUUUAUUUAAAUAAUAAUAAUUUUUUAUUUUAUAUUAAUAUAAUUAACUAAUAUUUUAAGGGAUAAGCUUUAAAAUAAAUUUUUUAUAAAUUAUUAAAAAUUUAAAUAUAAAUUAAUAGGAUUAGAAUUUUUUAUUUUUAAUAAUAUGUUAUAAUAAAUUUAUAUUUUAUUAAAAAAUUUUUAUAUAAUUUUAAAUUUUAUAUUAAAAUUAUUUAUUUAAUUUUAAAAUAUAUGUAAUAAUGAUAAAAUUAGUAUAAUUAAUUAAAAUGUAAUAUUUUAUAUUAAAUUUUAAGAUUAAAUUAAGGAACUCGGCAAUUUAUUUUUUUGCCUGUUUAUUAAAAACAUGUCUUUUUGAUUAUAAUUUAAAGUCUAAUCUGCCCUAUGAAUAAUUUUUAAAUGGCUGCGGUAUUUUGACCGUACAAAGGUAGCAUAAUAAUUAGUUUCUUAAUUAGGAACUGGUAUGAAAGAUUGAACAAGAAAAAUACUGUCUCAAUUUAAUUUUAAUAGAAUUUUAUUUUUAAGUUAAAAAGCUUAAAUAAAUUUAAAAGACGAGAAGACCCUAUAGAGUUUUAUAUUAUAUUUUUUAUUUAAAAAUUUAAGUAUUUUUAAUUUAUUUAAAUUAAAAUAAUAUUUAAUUUGGGGUGAUUAAAAAAUUAAUAAAACUUUUUUUAUAUAAUUACA
rnacentral:rRNA from 1 species